AGGAGAAACAGAAUGUUUAUAUGCAACAAAACAAACACAACUGAAAAAUCUUGCUAAAGUUUGAUUAUGCUUCAGUUGCUCUGCUCUAAUGUGUGUGUUACAUACCUCUACAGUUGUGUGGAUGGGUGAGUUUAACUUAGUAGCCUUGGCGUUUGCUCGGAGGUGACAUAUGUGAACUUUAUCAUUGACGAGGCCUGGUCCCGCCAUAAGGACACCUCAAGGAUUCUGGAGCCUCUUCUGAUCCCCCACGUCCAAGAUGUGUCCCUCACAGUCGUCAUCCUUGGAACCUGCAUCUAUAAAGUUAUGGUGAAUUCAAUUCAAGUUUUUGUAUAGCGCUUUUUACAAUACAAAUUGUUACAAAGUUAACAGAAAAUUAUGUUUCUACAGUAUUUAGUAGUAGCUAGUAGUUUGUGCACGUUUGACAAGGUUUGUAGAAAAAAUAAUAAUAAUAAAAAUAAUAAUAAUACAAGAUGUAGUCAGAUAGAUGAUGAACUAUCAAUAUUAAUAAUUAAGUUAUUAUAUGAUUCAGUCACACAUUUAGCAAUAAUUGUUAGUUCUGUUUGUUGAUUCAGUGUUAGCAUCAUCUCUUCUCAGGUGUUCUGGAUCCAGACUGGAGCUUGUGGUAAAUCCCGUGGCAAAAUAUAGAAACAAAAUAGGAGACAUCAUUAAAUUAAAAUAUCAGUAGUUAAAUAUUAAUAAUGUUCAGGACAGUGUUUGAUAAUUCAGUUUAAGUCACUCACAUGUUCCACAGUUCCUUGCAGAGUUAAGUGGCCUCCUCUUGAAGAUGGAGACAGAUGGAGGAAUCAGGGUGUCUUUGACCAUCUUCUCUGCAUCAAAGGGGGAUCUGUGCACCAUACAAAGAUCUUGCAGAAUUCGACUACAACAUCAUCAAACUUCCCUCAGAAGAUGGCUAGUCUUUUAAUAAAGGAAUGUCUUGCAUUUCUGAAACGGAGUAAUGUUUUCAUCCAAUUUCCAUUGAGUGCUUUACUAUAUGGAUUAGAGGCAUUGGUUGAAAUCCACUUUUCAUGCCCGUGCAAUGUUAAGAUGAACAAUUGUUUAGCACUGGCAAUGUUCUUGGGACCUUUUUUGUUCAUAUUUGCAAUGAUGUUCAUGUUUUAUCGGCCUUUUAAACAUGGGUAUUGUCAUUGUGCUAAGAAAGCAAAUGGUGAAACCGAAGAUGAAACUCGGCAAAGCUGGCCUAAAUCUUUUGGAUAUUGUCUGAUUGCACCUGUAAUGUGGGUCAUCAUCUUGUUUCUUGAUGGAGAUUAUUAUGCUUGUGGUCGUACAGACUGGAAUGGACAUUAUGUUUUUGAUGAGGUGCUCAACAGGUCUUGGUGUAAACCUACCGAGGAGAUGCGAAAUGAGACAGAGCUACGCAGUUUGACUAGCUAUAAUCUUCAUUAUUCUCGGUAUAUAGGUUACAUCUUGAUGAUUAUCCUUGGUAUUGUGCUGGUAAUCACAGUGGGUGUUAAUGACUGCUGCAUAACUGGAAAAUGUGACUGCUGCCGAAGUUUGAUAUUAAGAAAGUGUGGAGGAUCAGAUCCAGAGCAGGGGAGUCCGAGAAGUACUGAAACAGGGAAUCCAAGCCCUGUGGUUAGACCUACGGAACAGAACGUGAUCCCAAUGGAGGGCUUAAGCUCUGACCAAUCCCACAAGCCCAGAACCUCUAGCGACGUCCCUGAUCCUGAGACAGAGAAUAGACAAGGUGAAGGACCGACUGAAUCAACAGAGGCUGAGCCUUUUAUCAAAAAAAAAAUUUUCCAUUAAAUUUCUGCCUGUGUCCUUCUAUCUGCGGCACAUAUAUUCUAUUUAGAAAUUUAAGGGACAAAGUCUUAUGGUAAAAACUCGAUAUAAUUGCCUUAAUAACAUAAUGUUACAAUUAUGUGUGUUGGUAAUAUAUAUUUCUCCUAUAUACAUUUUAUGCUAUUUCUGCCUUUUUCUGCUAUUUUUUCCAUUCAUUUAAAUUGUUUCCACACACAUACACAAUAAUGUUUUGAUUUGUCAUGUUUAUGUUGCUCUGUUUAAUUAUACUGAAUGGCCCUUACGUAAAAGUAGUAUACUUGGUUUAUUUUACUAAGUAUACUUAAGUAAAGUUCAAGUAUAACUUUUAAGUAUACUUUAUGUGGCACGUAUACAAAUAUCAGUGUUCUAGUAGUAUACUUGUAAGUGUACUGUUUCAAAACUCCUUGGGACUAAAUUGUCCCACUUUCUAAGUAUAUUUUUAAGUAUAAGAGUAGUAAACUUUGAGAACACAACUAGUUUACCUAUGUUUGUAGUUUGUACUGUAGUUAUAUUAAAAGUGAACUUAUAGGUUUAAUGAUAGUUUACUAAUUAAAUACUUUGUACACUUUGAAGUAUAUAUAGUCUCAGUAAACUACAAGUUUAGUAGUUUUUACUGCAAGUAUACUCAUUAGUUUUGUGAAUUUUGAAUUUUACAUCAUACAUCCAAAACAUCCAAAGAACAGGGUAUCUGCUUGUAAACAAAUACAUUUUAUUCUAGCUUCAUGCAUUAUUUUUUUUAAACAGAGAAAUAACAUUUUGAAUAAAAAGCUGAAAAAGACUAUGAAUUGGAUUCAGAAUGAUAGUUAAAACGUAGAUGGAGUCGAUCAACACCUCAAAGCUUGACUGUAAUUAUUACCUCUUCAUCGGUCGACAUUUUAUUCCAUAACGUUAUAGUUUGGAUGCUGUUUUAUGUCAUAUGAUCAUGUUAGAUUACAUUUACUAACAUUUGUUAGUAUGUUUUAGUUUAUUCUUCUUUAUUUGUGUUUUUUUGGAAAUUCUGUGCAGAAGAUGUGUACUAGCGCUGUCUAUCGUAUAAUAAUGAAAACACAGAUUCUAGGAGUAUAGCUCAAAUAUAUUUAGAAUUUUUGUAAGUACAAGUCUAGUAUACUUAAAUGUAAUUUUAAGUAUAUUUUUGAGGAUAACAAAAGCCCAUUUCUGAAAAGUACAUGAAAAGCAUACUAAAAGCAUCCUUUCCUAUUUUUAGUUUAAAAGAAGUAUACUUAUAGCACUCUUGAAUAAACUUCUUUUUCAUAAGGGGGAUCCGUGUACUGUUGUAGAUAUAUGCAGUCAGCAGGCAACUGGUUUAGUUCUUUCAUAUGUGCAUAUAUAUGGGAUCCUUAUAUAAGUAGUUUUUUUUUUUUUUGGUGUCCUUUUGGAGUUUCUAAGUGUCCUUUUUUGGAAAGAAAUGAAGUUUACCUUGCAAAAAAAGCUUGCAACAUGUUUUACAGCUUUACAGCUUUUUUUAAAUAUCAACUUUCAAUCUUUUGGUUUACUUUGCUGAAUAUAACAAAUGAUGACAAAAUAAACAUUUGAAACAAGAUAAAUGGUCUAUGCGUAAUUUUAUGAAGUGUGCGAUUAAUUGUGACUUUUUCAUGGUUCAGUUUGUUUCACGGUUUUAGAGUCAUGGUUUUGGUACGGUUCGGUAUGCACUAAGUUUAUGAAAAACUAUACUAUACUAACUAUACUAAGUAAUAGCAACAGCACAAAUAAAUAUAAUAAAUAAACAAAUAAAUUAAACUUUUUUUAGGGAGGUCUAGCAU
rnacentral:lncRNA from 1 species